UACGAAGGGGACUAGCGUUGUUCGGAAUCACUGGGCGUAAAGCGCACGCAGGCGGCUUGAUAAGUCAGGGGUGAAAUCCCGGGGCUCAACCUCGGAAUUGCCUUUGAUACUGUCUGUCUUGAGUUCGGGAGAGGUUGGCGGAAUUCCUAGUGUAGAGGUGAAAUUCGUAGAUAUUAGGAAGAACACCAGUGGCGAAGGCGGCUAACUGGCCCGAUACUGACGCUCAGGUGCGAAAGCGUGGGGAGCAAACAGG
rnacentral:rRNA from 1 species